AGGACGAACGCUGGCGGCGUGCUUAACACAUGCAAGUCGAGCGGAAAGGCCCUUCGGGGUACUCGAGCGGCGAACGGGUGAGUAACACGUGAGCAACCUGCCCUUAGCUUCGGGAUAGCUCCGGGAAACCGGAAUUAAUACCGAAUAUGAUUUUUGCUGACAUCAGCAGAAGUGGAAAGUUUUUCGGCUAGGGAUGGACUCGCGGCCUAUCAGCUAGUUGGUGAGGUAACGGCCCACCAAGGCGACGACGGGUAGCCGGCCUGAGAGGGCGACCGGCCACACUGGGACUGAGACACGGCCCAGACUCCUACGGGAGGCAGCAGUGGGGAAUAUUGCGCAAUGGGCGAAAGCCUGACGCAGCGACGCCGCGUGGGGGAUGAAUGCCUUCGGGUUGUAAACCCCUUUCAGCAGGACGAAGCGAAAGUGACGGUACCUGCAGAAGAAGCGCCGGCUAACGUACGCGCCAGCAGCCGC
rnacentral:rRNA from 1 species